ensembl:snoRNA
UUACAAUGAUGGUGACAAUGUUUGACUGGACAAUGAAGAUGUGGAAAAAUGUUACUGCUGAAGAU